AUUGAACGCUGGCGGCAGGCCUAACACAUGCAAGUCGAACGAGUGGCGGACGGGUGAGUAAUGUCUGGGAAACUGCCCGAUGGAGGGGGAUAACUACUGGAAACGGUAGCUAAUACCGCAUACCAUCGGAUGUGCCCAGAUGGGAUUAGUUAGUAGGUGGGGUAAAGGCGCACCUAGGCGCCUAUCCCUAGCUGGUCUGAGAGGAGGACCAGCCACACUGGAACUGUGAAACGGUCCAGACUCCUACGGGAGGAAGCAGUGGGGAAUAUUGCAAAAUGGGCGCAACCCGGACGCAGCAAUGCCGCGUGGAUGAAGAAGGCCUGCGGGUGGGAAAGUACUUUCAGCGGGGAGGCGUUACUCGCAGAAGAAGCACCGGCUAACUCCGUGCCAGCAGCCGCGGUAAUUC
rnacentral:rRNA from 1 species